UACAGAGGGUGCAAGCGUUAAUCGGAAUCACUGGGCGUAAAGGGCACGUAGGUUGUUGACUAAGUGUAAUGUGAAAGCCCCGGGCUCAACCUGGGAACUGCAUUCCAAACUGGUCGGCUAGAGUAUAGUAGAGGGGAGUGGAAUUCCACGUGUAGCGGUGAAAUGCGUAGAUAUGUGGAGGAACAUCAGUGGCGAAGGCGACUCUCUGGACUAAUACUGACACUGAGGUGCGAAAGCGUGGGUAGCGAACAGG
rnacentral:rRNA from 1 species